rnacentral:tRNA from 3 species
AGCGGGGUAGGGCAGUCAGGAGAGCUUGCCCUGAAUGCCCGAUGGGCUCAUAACCCAUAGGUCGGUGGUUCAAAUCCACCCCCCGCUACCA